rnacentral:rRNA from 1 species
GAUGAACGCUGGCGGCGUGCCUAAUACAUGCAAGUCGAGCGGACGGACGAGAAGCUUGCUUCUCUGAUGUUAGCGGAGGACGGGUGUGUAACACGUGGAUAACCUCCCUAUAAGACUGGGAUCACUUCGGGAAACCGUCGCUAAUCCCGGAUAAUCUUUUGAACCGCAUGGUUCAAAAGUGAAAGACGGUCUUGCUGUCACUUAUAGCUGGAUCCGCGCUGCAUUAGCUAGUUGGUAAGGUAACGGCUUACCACGGCAACGAUGCAUAGCCGACGGGAGAGGGGGAUCGGCGACACGGGAGCGUAGACGGGCUCCAGACGCCUACGGGAGGCAGCAGUAGGGAAUCUUCCGCAAUGGGCGAAAGCCUGACGGAGCAACGCCGCGUGAGUGAUGAAGGUCUUCGGAUCGUAAAACUCUGUUAUGAGUGAAGAACAUAUGUGUAAGUAACUGUGCACAUCGUGACGGUACCGAAUCAGAAAGCCACGGCUAACUACGUG